AGAGUUUGAUCCUGGCUCAGGACGAACGCUGGCGGCGUGCCUAACACAUGCAAGUCGAGCGGAGACAGUGAGUAGCUUGCUAUGAGCUGUUUUAGCGGCGGACGGGUGAGUAACGCGUGAGCAACCUUUCCCAGACAGGGGAAUAACACACCGAAAGGUGUACUAAUACCGCAUAAGACCACGGAAUCACAUGGUUCUGAGGUAAAAGAUUUAUCGGUUUGGGGUGGGCUCGCGUCCGAUUAGGUAGUUGGUGAGGUAACGGCCCACCAAGCCGACGAUCGGUAGCCGACCUGAGAGGGUGAUCGGCCACAUUGGGACUGAGACACGGCCCAAACUCCUACGGGAGGCAGCAGUGGGGAAUAUUGCACAAUGGGGGAAACCCUGAUGCAGCGACGCCGCGUGAGCGAAGAAGUAUUUCGGUAUGUAAAGCUCUAUCAGCAGGGAAGAAAAUGACGGUACCUGACUAAGAAGCCCCGGCUAACUACGUGCCAGCAGCCGCGGUAAUACGUAGGGGGCAAGCGUUGUCCGGAAUAAUUGGGCGUAAAGGGCGCGUAGGCGGCUCGGUAAGUCUGGAGUGAAAGUCCUGCUUUUAAGGUGGGAAUUGCUUUGGAUACUGUCGGGCUUGAGUGCAGGAGAGGUUAGUGGAAUUCCCAGUGUAGCGGUGAAAUGCGUAGAGAUUGGGAGGAACACCAGUGGCGAAGGCGACUAACUGGACUGUAACUGACGCUGAGGCGCGAAAGUGUGGGGAGCAAACAGGAUUAGAUACCCUGGUAGUCCACACUGUAAACGAUGAAUGCUAGGUGUAGGGGGUAUCGACCCCUUCUGUGCCGCAGUCAACACAAUAAGCAUUCCGCCUGGGGAGUACGGCCGCAAGGUUGAAACUCAAAGGAAUUGACGGGGGCCCGCACAAGCAGUGGAGUAUGUGGUUUAAUUCGAAGCAACGCGAAGAACCUUACCAGGUCUUGACAUCCGAUGCAUAGUACAGAGAUGCAUGAAGUCCUUCGGGACAUCGAGACAGGUGGUGCAUGGUUGUCGUCAGCUCGUGUCGUGAGAUGUUGGGUUAAGU
rnacentral:rRNA from 1 species